rnacentral:rRNA from 1 species
CCGGCCGGGGGACGGACUGGGAAUUGUUCCUUUAGGUGCCUUCCCCGGGUGUCGAACAGCCAACUCAGAACUGGUACGGACAAGGGGAAUCCGACUGUUUAAUUAAAACAAAGCAUUGCGAUGGUCUAUGUGGAUAUUUACGCAAUGUGAUUUAUGCCUAGUUCUCUGAAUGUCAAAGUGAAGAAAUUCAACCAAGCGCGGGUAAAUGGCGGGAGUAACUAUGAAUCUCUUAAGAUAGCCAAAUGCCUCGUCAUCUAAGUAGUGACGUGCAUGAAUGGAUUAACGAGAUUCCCACUGUCCCUGUCUACUAUCCAAUGAAACCACAUCCAAGGGAAUGGGCUUCGCAGAAUCAGCAAGGAAAGAAGACCCUGUUGAGCUUGACUCUAGUCCGACUUUGUGAAAUGACUUGAGAGGUGUAGUACAAGUGGGAGCCGAAAGGCAAAAGUGAAAUACCACUACUUUUAACGUUAUUUUACUUAUUCCGUGAAUCGAAAGCGGGGCACUGCCCCUCUUUUUGGAACCAAGGCUUGUUUGCAGGCCUUUCCGGGCGAAAGACAUUGUCAGGUGAGGAGUUUGGCUGGGGCGGCACAUUUGUUAAAAGAUAGCGCAGGUGUCCUAAGAUGAGCAUAACGAGAACAAAAAUCUCGUGUGGAACAGAAGGGUAAAAGCUCGUUUGAUUCUAAUUUCCAGUACGAAUAUGAACCGUGAAAGCGUGGCCUAACGAUCCUUUAGACCUUCAGAAUUCGAAGCUAGAGGUGUUAGAAAAGUUACCACAGGGAUAACUGGCUUGUGGAAGCCAAGCGUUCAUAGUGAUGUUGCUUUUUGAUCCUUUGAUGUCGGCUCUUCCUAUCAUUGUGAAGCAGAAUUCACCAAGUAUUGGAUUGUUCACCCACCAAUAGGGAAUGUGAGCUGGGUUUAGACCGUCGUGAGAUAGAUUAGUAAUUCAAACUAGUAAGAGAGUAACCGUUGAUUUGCAUAAUUGGUCAUCGCGCUUGGUCGAAAAUCCAGUGGCGCUAAGCUAACGUGCGCUGGAUUAUGACUGAACGCCUCUAAGUCAGAAUUCGGGCUAGAAGCGACGCAUGCUCCCGCUGUCCGCUUGCCUAUCCGUAGUAGGGGCCUUUGGCCCCCAAGGGCACGUGUUGUUGGCUAAGUCAUCGCGACGGAAGAGCCGUGGUGGCCGCCUUGAAGUACAAUUUCCAACGAACGGCGGGUAGAAUCCUUUGCAAAUGACUUAAAUAUGCGACGGGGUAUUGUAAGUGGCAGAGUGGCCUUGCUGCCAUGAUCCACAGAGAUUCAGCUUUUUUUCGCUCCGAUUCGU